CUCAAAGAUUAAGCCAUGCAAGUGGUUAUUUUAACCCGACAGUUUAAAUAAGUGUUUAUAUAUCAAAUUAUUAUUACUACACACGCAUGAAAUAUUAAUCUAUUCACUUACGCAACUGCAGACAGCUGCUUAAUACAGUCACACUUGUCUUGACUUGGCUACGAUAGAACACGCAUUGCUACUUUUUUAAACACACUUCGCAAGAUUGUGGGCAUGCUGUUCUUAUUAUCAUCAUAUGAUACCGUGUGAUUUCCUUACUGGGUGCGCAGCCCGUUCUAUCGGCGCUCGCAUUAAAUCCACCAUUUUAACACUCAACUUACGGAUAACUCAGGGAAAGUUUGGCUAAUACGUACGAGCAAUUUUAUUUACUCACAUUUUCACACAUUACUCAGCACUCAAUGGUAAACUAGUGAGUUUACGCAUCCUGUCUUCGGACGAUGCUGUAAUUUACUCACCUAUCGUUUAACUGCAACAUGAGAGACAUUGAGCACGCAGCCUGUUCUGGUCACUCAUGUGACUGGCUGGCACUUUACGCUGAGCAGACUUUGCGAUAUUUCUAUUGCGAAGCGUGUCAUACAAGCAUCUACAGCAUCAAGUCACAGGGUUGGCAAGUGUAUUAUUGAACCUUCAAAGCAGUCACGCAUACGGAAGAGUAGUUUCUGAUCCCAUAGAAGGAGCACCGUACAAUGAGAGACCGCUCUUAGUUCUAAGGAACGCAGCAGGCGCGUAAAUUGCCCAAUGCUAGUACCCUACAAUUAUUAUUAUUGCAAUUUACUUUACACUACAACAACAAUGCGUCGUAGAUAUUAGUUUUUAAUAAACACUCUAUUUUAAUAACUGACAUUUUAUUAUCCUUGUCGCGCGCACGCUAGUGUGAAUUUCAAUUAAUUUUAUUGAUUCACUGAGGCAGUGACAAGCUGUAACGGUUGAGUAUAAAAAUGACGAGUGUCUGGCAUUGCCGCUUCUUCGGGAGCUUGGCAAUUCUGCCGACGCUUUGUGUGCUCAAUUGGAAUGCGGUGAGUUUAAGCAACUCAGAACCUGGAUGGUGACUUUCUUUACGAAUUCACUAUUCGUGUAUCUGAAUUUUCAAGKGAGGG
rnacentral:rRNA from 1 species